rnacentral:rRNA from 1 species
UUUCAGAGAUGAGAAUGUGCCUUCGGGAACCGUGAGACAGGUGCUGCAUGGCUGUCGUCAGCUCGUGUUGUGAAAUGUUGGGUUAAGUCCCGCAACGAGCGCAACCCUUAUCCUUUGUUGCCAGCGGUCCGGCCGGGAACUCAAAGGAGACUGCCAGUGAUAAACUGGAGGAAGGUGGGGAUGACGUCAAGUCAUCAUGGCCCUUACGACCAGGGCUACACACGUGCUACAAUGGCGCAUACAAAGAGAAGCGACCUCGCGAGAGCAAGCGGACCUCAUAAAGUGCGUCGUAGUCCGGAUUGGAGUCUGCAACUCGACUCCAUGAAGUCGGAAUCGCUAGUAAUCGUGGAUCAGAAUGCCACGGUGAAUACGUUCCCGGGCCUUGUACACACCG